rnacentral:rRNA from 1 species
AUUGAACGCUGGCGGCAGGCCUAACACAUGCAAGUCGAACGAGUGGCGGACGGGUGAGUAAUGUCUGGGAAACUGCCUGAUGGAGGGGGAUAACUACUGGAAACGGUAGCUAAUACCAAAUAAAAUAAGAUGUGCACAGAUGGGAUUAGCUGGUUGGUGGGGUAACGGCUCACCAAGGCUACGAUCCCUAGCUGGUCUGAGAGGAUGACCAGCCACACUGGAACUGAGGCACGGGCAAGACCCCUACGGGAGGCAGCAGGGGGGAAUAUGGCACAAUGGGCGCAAGCCUGAUGCAGCCAUGCCGCGUGUAUGAAGAAGUCCUUCGGGUUGUAAAGUACUUUCAGCGGGGAGGCGUUACCCGCAGAAGAAGCACCGGCUAACUCCGUGCCAGCAGCCGCGGUAAUAC